UAUGACCAUAUCGUGUUGAAACACUGGUUCCUUUGCAAUCACUGAAGUUAAGCAACACUGGGCCUGGUCAGUACCUAGAUGGGUGACCUCUUGUGAAUACUAAGUUCUGUAA